AGAGUUUGAUCCUGGCUCAGGACGAACGCUGGCGGCGCGCCUAACACAUGCAAGUCGAACGAGAGAGAGGGAGCUUGCUUCCUUGAUCGAGUGGCGAACGGGUGAGUAACGCGUGAGGAACCUGCCUCAAAGAGGGGGACAACAGUUGGAAACGACUGCUAAUACCGCAUAAGCCCACGACCCGGCAUCGGGAAGAGGGGAAAGGAGCAAUCCGCUUUGAGAUGGCCUCGCGUCCGAUUAGCUAGUUGGUGAGGUAACGGCCCACCAAGGCGACGAUCGGUAGCCGGACUGAGAGGUUGAACGGCCACAUUGGGACUGAGACACGGCCCAGACUCCUACGGGAGGCAGCAGUGGGGAAUAUUGCACAAUGGGGGAAACCCUGAUGCAGCGACGCCGCGUGGAGGAAGAAGGUCUUCGGAUUGUAAACUCCUGUUGUUGAGGAAGAUAAUGACGGUACUCAACAAGGAAGUGACGGCUAACUACAUGCCAGCAGCCGCGGUAAAACGUAGGUCACAAGCGUUGUCCGGAAUUACUGGGUGUAAAGGGAGCGCAGGCGGGCGAUCAAGUUGGAAGUGAAAUCCAUGGGCUCAACCCAUGAACUGCUUUCAAAACUAGUCGUCUUGAGUAGUGCAGAGGUAGGCGGAAUUCCCGGUGUAGCGGUGGAAUGCGUAGAUAUCGGGAGGAACACCAGUGGCGAAGGCGGCCUACUGGGCACCAACUGACGCUGAGGCUCGAAAGUGUGGGUAGCAAACAGGAUUAGAUACCCUGGUAGUCCACACCGUAAACGAUGAUUACUAGGUGUUGGGAGAUUGACCCUCUCAGUGCCGCAGUUAACACAAUAAGUAAUCCACCUGGGGAGUACGACCGCAAGGUUGAAACUCAAAGGAAUUGACGGGGGCCCGCACAAGCAGUGGAGUAUGUGGUUUAAUUCGACGCAACGCGAAGAACCUUACCAAGUCUUGACAUCCCCUGACGAUGCUGGAAACAGUAUUUCUCUUCGGAGCAAGGAGACAGGUGGUGCAUGGUUGUCGUCAGCUCGUGUCGUGAGAUGUUGGGUUAAGUCCCGCAACGAGCGCAACCCUUAUGGUCAGUUACUACACAAGGGACUCUGGCCAGGCUGCCGUUGACAAAACGGAGGAAGGUGGGGAUGACGUCAAAUCAUCAUGCCCUUUAUGACUUGGGCUACACACGUACUACAAUGGCGUUAAACAAAGAGAAGCAAGACCGCGAGGUGGAGCAAAACUCAGAAACAACGUCCCAGUUCGGACUGCAGGCUGCAACUCGCCUGCACGAAGUCGGAAUUGCUAGUAAUCGUGGAUCAGCAUGCCACAGUGAAUACGUUCCCGGGCCUUGUACACACCGCCCGUCACACCAUGAGAGCCGGGGGGACCCGAAGUCGGUAGUCUAACCGCAAGGAGGACGCCGCCGAAGGUAAAACUGGUGAUUGGGGUGAAGUCGAAACAAGGU
rnacentral:rRNA from 1 species